GGGGGGGGGGGGGGGGGGGGCGGGGGGGUGCGGGGCGGGGGGGGGGGCGGGGGGCGUGCGCGUCGGACGGUGGCGGCGGACGGGUGAGUAAGACGUGGAUAACCUACCGAUAAGACUGGGAGAACUUCGGGAACGCGGGGCUAAUCCCGGAUAAUAUAUUGAACCGCAGGGUUCAAUAGUGAAAGCCGGGUUUGCUGUCACUGAGAGAUGGAUCCGCGCCGCAUUAGCUAGUUGGUAAGGUAACGGCUUACCAAGGCAACGAUGCGUAGCCGACCUGAGAGGGUGAUCGGCCACACUGGAACUGAGACACGGUCCAGACUCCUACGGGAGGCAGCAGUAGGGAAUCUUCCGCAAAGGGCGAAAGCCUGACGGAGCAACGCCGCGUGAGUGAUGAAGGUCUUCGGAUCGUAAAACUCUGUUAUUAGGGAAGAACAAAUGUGUAAGUAACUAUGCACGUCUUGACGGUACCUAAUCAGAAAGCCACGGCUAACUACGUG
rnacentral:rRNA from 1 species